rnacentral:rRNA from 1 species
UACGGAGGGGGCUAGCGUUGUUCGGAAUUACUGGGCGUAAAGCGUACGUAGGCGGCUUUGUAAGUUAGAGGUGAAAGCCCGGGGCUCAACUCCGGAAUUGCCUUUAAGACUGCAUCGCUUGAAUCAUGGAGAGGUGAGUGGAAUUCCGAGUAUAGAGGUGAAAUUCGUAGAUAUUCGGAAGAACACCAGUGGCGAAGGCGACUCACUGGACAUGUAUUGA